rnacentral:rRNA from 1 species
UACGAAGGAGGCUAGCGUUGUUCGGAAUCACUGGGCGUAAAGGGCGCGUAGGCGGCUUUAUAAGUCGGGGGUGAAAGCCUGUGGCUCAACCACAGAAUUGCCUUCGAUACUGUAGAGCUUGAGACCGGAAGAGGUAAGUGGAACUGCGAGUGUAGAGGUGAAAUUCGUAGAUAUUCGCAAGAACACCAGUGGCGAAGGCGGCUUACUGGUCCGGUUCUGACGCUGAGGCGCGAAAGCGUGGGGGGCAAACAGG